rnacentral:misc_RNA from 1 species
UAGGAAUGACAGUGGAGUAAUUGUGAAUUGUAAUGAAAUAGAGAGAGGAAUAAGAAGUUUGAUGGAACAUGAUAGUAAGAAAAUGAAGAAAGUAAAGGAGAUGAGUGAGAACAGCAGAAGAGCGUUAAUGGAUAGUGGAUCUUCAUACUGUUGUUUAGGUCGUCUCAUAAAAAAUUUUAUGGACGAUUUAACUUAAAAUAUUAGAUUUGAAACUUUCUCUUUGCUUCAUAAUAACAAAAAUAAAAUUCCUUGAUUGCUUAUCACAAAAUUAUAAAUGUAUUACUUUUAAUUUUUAAUAUGCAUACACACAUA